GUCGUCGUCGUCCGGCGUCGUCGUCCGAAUACACAUUGGUUUUCGCACUCUAACUUUAGUUUAAGUAAAUGGAUCUUUUUGAAAUUUGACCAUAAGGUUAAAUACCACAAAAGGAAGGUUGGGAUUGAUUUUGGGGGUUAUGGUACUAACAGUUAAGGAAUUAGGGGCCAAAAAGGGGCCAAAAAUAAGCAUUUUCUAGUUUCCAGACAAUAACUGUGGAACGGUGUAUGGAUCGCUCUGAAAUUAUACUACAAGUUUCCAUACCACAAAGGGAUGGUUAGGAUUUGCUUUGGGGGGUUAUGGCUCAAACCGUUUAGGAAUUAGGGGCAAAAAAGUGGGAAAAACAAGGUUGUCCUGGUUAAUGGACAAAUACUUUAGUACAAAACAUAAUUUAAAGCAGUGUAAGGGAGAUAAAUCAAAUACAUCAUUGAAAUUAUCUCCCUUACACUGCUUUUAAAUUAUGUAUAAAGUAAUGGUUAAUGAACAAUAAAGAUAAUUUAAAACAGUGUAAGGGAGGUAAUCAAAAUACAACGUUUUGGUUACUUCCCUUACACUGCUUUUAAAUUAUGUUUAAAGAAAUGCAUAUUUAUAAAGGAAGACCAGUAAAAAUAUCUGCAAAUGUUGCAUCUUUUUUUUUUACAAAAAAAUCCAUAUGAAAGAUUUGACACUAUAUUUUUAAUUCUAUUAUAAAAUAGAUUAAGUUAGCACUAUGGUAAAUUUAAAUGGGUAAUUAUUCCAUUGGAAAUUUGAAUUGAGAUUAUGACCAUAUCUUGAGGGAAAGAAUUUUUUGGGGGAAAAAAGGGGGGGGGGGAUAAAAAGAAAUUGUGGGGGGUCAUUUUUUUCUCAUUUCAGAUUUCAGAAAUUAAAAAAAUUAUUCUUCAAAUAUUAUUUUUUUUUCAAAUUUCAAAUAUUGAAAAAUUUCAAGAAGAAAUCUUUAAUUGCACAGUAUGGCGCAUUAAAUUUGUAAAAUCUUUGAUCACAUUUAUUUAUUUGUUAUGCCGAAUCCAACAGUGUAUUUAGAUUUUUAAUUUUGGGUCCAGUUUUCAAAUUGGUCUACAUUAAGGUCCAAAGGGUCCAAAAUUAAACUUAGUUUGAUUUUAACAAAAAUUGAAUUCUUGGGGUUCUUUGAUAUGCUGAAUCUAAACAUGUGUUUAGAUUUUUGAUUAUGGGCCCAGUUUUCAAGUUGGUCCAAGAUAGGGUCCAGUAUUUUAACUUUGUUUGAUUUCAACAAAAAUUGAAUAUAUGGGGUUCUUUGAUAUGCUGAAUCUAAACAUGUAUUUAGAUUUUUGAUUAUGGGCCCAGUUUUCAAGUUGGUCCAAAUUGGGGUCCAAAAUUAAACUUUGUUUGAUUUCAACAAAAAUUGAAUAUAUGAGGUUCUUUGAUAUGCUGAAUCUAACCAUGUAUUUAGAUUUUUUAUUUGUAGGCCCCGCUAUCAAAUUGGUUCAUAUUGAGGUCAAAAGGGUCCAAAAUUAAACUUUGUUUGAUUUUAUCAAAAAUUGAAUUAUUGGGGUUCUUUGAUAUGCCAUAUCUAACCGUGUUUUUAGAUUUUUAAUUUGGGUCCCGUUUUUUAAAUUGGUCUUCAUUGAGGUCCAAAGGGUCCAAAAUUAAACUUAGUUUGAUUUUAACAAAAAUUGAAUUCUUGGGGUUCUUUGAUAUGCUGAAUCUAAACAUGUGUCUAGAUUUUUAUUAUGGGCCCAGUUUUCAAGUUGGUCCAAGUUGGGGUCUAAAAUUAAACUUUUUUUGAUUUCAACAAAAAUUGAAUAUAUGGGGUUCUUUGAUAUGCUGAAUCUAACCAUGAAUUUAGAUUUUUUAUUUGUGGGCCCCGCUAUCAAGUUGGUUCAUAUUGAGGUCAAAAGGGUCCAAAAUUAAACUUUGUUUGAUUUCAUCAAAAAUUGAAUUAUUGGGGUUCUUUGAUAUUCCAAAUCUAACCGUGUAUUUAGAUUUUUAAUUUUAAGUCCCGUUUUUUAAACUGGUCUACAUUAAGGUCCAAAGGGUCCAAAAUUAAACUUAGUUUGAUUUUAGCAAAAAUUGAAUUCUUAGGGUUAUUUGAUAUGCUGAAUCUAAACAUGUGUUUAGAUUUUUGAUUAUGGGCCCAGUUUUCAAGUUUGUCCAAGUUGGGGUCCAAAAUUAAACUUUGUUUGAUUUUAACAAAAAUUGAAUAUAUGGGGUUCUUUGAUAUGCUGAAUCUAACCAUGUAUUUUGAUUUUGGACAUUGGACCAUAAUACGUAAAUUAAAAAAAUUCAAGUUCUUGGACCACAUUCUUUCUGUGUCAGAAACCUAUGCUGUGUCAAAUAUUUAAUCACAAUCCAAAUUCAGAGCUGUAUCAAGCUUGAAUGUUGUGUCCAUACUUGCCCCAACUGUUCAGGGUUCGACCUCUGCGGUCGUAUCAAGCUGCGCCCCAGCGAAGCAUUUUAUUUAAUGAUUGAAUGUUAAAAAAUGGGUAUAAUCUGUUGUAAAGAAUGUAUGUAAAUUUGGUGAAAAAAUAAUAAUCUCAAAGUUAUCUUUAAAUUCUUGUUCCAAAUUGUUAUGUUGUUGCCAUAUUAGUCUUUUUUUUUUAAUGAUAUAAAUAAUAAGGUCAAUGACUUCAAUUAAUGGUGCAUUGAUCAGAGA